rfam:Aedes albopictus isolate Foshan contig74977, whole genome shotgun sequence.
UAGCCUAGUGAUUAAGGCUAUGGAUCGCCAAUCCGGAGAAGGCGGGUUCGAUUCCCGU